UAGCAUGAAGUCAGACAG
rnacentral:rRNA from 2 species